rnacentral:rRNA from 1 species
UACAGAGGGUGCGAGCGUUAAUCGGAAUUACUGGGCGUAAAGCGUGCGUAGACGGUUAUUUAAGUCGGGUGUGAAAGCCCCGGGCUCAACCUGGGAAUUGCAUUCGAGACUGAAUAGCUAGGGUGCGGUAGAGGGAAGCGGAAUUUCCGGUGUAGCGGUGAAAUGCGUAGAUAUCUGGAGGAACACCGGUGGCGAAGGCGGCAUCCUGGGCCGGUAUUGACGCUGAGGAGCGAAAGCCAGGGGAGCAAACGGG